UUGAUGGAGAGUUUGAUCCUGGCUCAGGACGAACGCUGGCGGCGUGCUUAACACAUGCAAGUCGAGCGGAAAGGCCCCUUCGGGGGUACUCGAGCGGCGAACGGGUGA
rnacentral:rRNA from 1 species